UACGUAGGGUGCGAGCGUUAAUCGGAAUUACUGGGCGUAAAGUGUGCGCAGGCGGCAGAGCAAGUCGAGUGUGAAAGCCCCGGGCUUAACCUGGGAAUUGCAUUUCAAACUGGCCGACUAGAGUACGGUAGAGGGAGGUAGAAUUUCCUGUGUAGCGGUGAAAUGCGUAGAUAUAGGAAGGAAUACCAGUGGCGAAGGCGGCCUCCUGGAUCGAUACUGACGCUGAGGCGCGAAAGCGUGGGGAGCAAACAGG
rnacentral:rRNA from 1 species